GAUGAACGCUAGCGGCAGGCUUAAUACAUGCAAGUCAAGGGGGUAGCAAUACAACCGGCGCACGGGUGAGUAACGCGUACACAACAUACCAUAUACUGGAGUAUAGCUUUGGGAAACUGAAGGUAAUCCUCCAUAACAUUGCGAGAGGGCAUCUGAUUGCAAUUAAAGUUUCGGCGGUAUAUGAUUGGUGUGCGUUUGAUUAGCUAGUUGGUAGGGUAACGGCCUACCAAGGCGACGAUCAAUAGCUGGCGUGAGAGCGCGACCAGCCACACUGGAACUGAGACACGGUCCAGACUCCUACGGGAGGCAGCAGUAGGGAAUAUUGGACAAUGGAGGAAACCUCUGAUCCACGCCAUCGCCCGCGUAGAUAGAUAGGAACGGCCCUCGUGGGUUAGUAAAUAUUCUUUUAUCGUAGGG
rnacentral:rRNA from 1 species